UACGUAGGGGGCAAGCGUUGUCCGGAUUUAUUGGGCGUAAAGAGCGUGUAGGCGGCCUGACAGGUCUGCUGUGAAAACUCGAGGCUCAACCUCGAGAUGUCGGCGGAAACCGUCUGGCUAGAGUCCGGAAGAGGAGAGUGGAAUUCCUGGUGUAGCGGUGAAAUGCGCAGAUAUCAGGAGGAACACCAAUAGCGAAGGCAGCUCGCUGGGACGGUACUGACGCUGAGGUGCGAAAGCGUGGGGAGCAAACAGG
rnacentral:rRNA from 1 species